rnacentral:rRNA from 1 species
AUUGAACGCUGGCGGCAGGCCUAACACCUGCAAGUCGAGCGAGCGGCGGACGGGUGAGUAAUGUAUGGGGACUGCCCGAUAGAGGGGGAUAACUACUGGAAACGGUGGCUAAUACCGCAUACUAUCGGAUAACCCAUAUGGGAGUAGCUAGUCGGUGGGGUAAAGGCUCACCUAGGCGACGAUCUCUCGCUGGUCUGAGAGGAUGAUCAGCCACAGGGGUAGUGGGACACGUCCCAGACUCCUACGGAGCCAGCAGUGGGGAAUAUUACACAAUGCGCGCAAGCUGGAUGGAGCGAAGGCGCGUGUAUGAAGAAGGCCUUAGGGUUGUAAAGUAGUUUCCGCAAAGAGGCGUUACCGGUAGAAGAAUCACCUGCUAACUCCGUAUCAGCAGCCGCGGUAAUAC